AGCGAACGCUGGCGGCAGGCUUAACACAUGCAAGUCGAGCGGGCGCAGCAAUACGUCAGCGGCAGACGGGUGAGUAACGCGUGGGAACAUACCUUUUGGCUCGGAACAACACAGGGAAACUUGUGCUAAUACCGGAUAAGCCCUUACGGGGAAAGAUUUAUCGCCGAAAGAUUGGCCCGCGUCUGAUUAGCUAGUUGGUGAGGUAACGGCUCACCAAGGCGACGAUCAGUAGCUGGUCUGAGAGGAUGAUCAGCCACAUUGGGACUGAGACACGGCCCAAACUCCUACGGGAGGCAGCAGGUGGGGAAUAUUGGACAAUGGGCGAAAGCCUGAUCCAGCCAUGCCGCGUGAGUGAUGAAGCCCUAGGGUUGUAAGCUCUUUUGUGCGGGAAGAUAAUGACGGUACCGACAAGAAUAACG
rnacentral:rRNA from 1 species